AACUAUAUAAGGAGGUCUCGUCGGAAAAAAUUAUGGACUAGUGCGAGUGAAAAGUGCGAGUGAAAGGGCUCUCGCUGUAGGUGUGAGGGCAACGACAAUGGAGUGUGCUGAUCAAUCAUUUAAAAGCAAUGUGAAAAAACAUAAUAAUUGUUACAUAAUUUAGUUUUUAAUAGUUUGCUUCAUGAAAGUAGUCAGUGUUUUGAAAGAACAAACAUUUUGAAAAAUUUUGAAAAAAAAAUCGUCCGCAACCAACUUUCCGCGUCGACAAU
rnacentral:lncRNA from 1 species